rfam:Myotis lucifugus cont2.26433, whole genome shotgun sequence.
GAGACACUUUUCUGGGGCAAGACUUGCUUCAGUGGGGCUUUGGUGCUCACUGAGUCUGCCCCCUGAGUGUGUCCCU